UGGGCAAAAUGGCGUAUGGCGCCCAGAGUCCAGACUCCYUGCCCGCACCCGCCCACCGAGUACCAUAACACUCCCGUCUCCCGGCGGCCGGCGUUUCCAUUCAGAUUUCAGAGUCUAAUUGCCGUAUCAUAUAACAGACGUAACAGCAGCAUUUGCCGACUGCCGAGUUGUGCUCGCAAGGCCCGGUGACUGACCAAAAAUCACAACACUGAACACUCAUUUUUCGAGAGUCAUCACACCGCCAGUUGUCGACCCGCCGAGUCCGUCCGACGAAUAUAUCGAAACUGAAACGGACUGCAAUCGUCGCGUCGUCGUUUAGCUCUUCCAGGACAUCCCUCGACAACUGAUACAUAACGGCAACAGGUCAAUCGCAAAAGAUAUUAUUUAAAAUAUGUCAUCGUCAUCAAGAUACAGGGAUUCUGGMAAUCCAGAUUGCAAAAUAUAUGUUGGUGAUCUAGGAUCAUCCGCAUCCAAACAAGAUUUAGAAGAUGCUUUUUCAUAUUACGGUUCAAUUCGUAAUGUUUGGGUUGCACGUAACCCUCCUGGUUUUGCUUUUGUUGAAUUUGAAGAUCCAAGAGAUGCAGAAGAUGCAGUUAGAGGUUUAGAUGGAAGGAGCAUUUGUGGUAGACGAGUCAGAGUUGAAUUGUCUAAUGCUGGAUCACGUAAAGGUGCUUAUCGGGGAGGUCCGCCUCGACGAGGACGUCCAUUUCAUCCUGAAGACAAAUGUUAUGAAUGCGGUGAUAGAGGACAUUAUGCUCGUGACUGUAGACGUUUUAAGGGAGGACGACGCAGGAUGUUCGGCUGAGAGCGUCUCUUCUCGUAGUGUCGAUCGUCGUAGAGCUCUCAACCAAAAUAAUAUAUUUUGAUCUUCUACUACGAGCAAUGUGUGUUAGUCGUCGGACUACGGCGCAACUAUCUGUCUGUCUGCGUUUAUCGAUGUACUCAGCUACACUAGAACCCCAUCGAGCCCAACCAACCUAAUGAUUUUUAUUCUGAUGCUCUAAUUAGCUAUCGGUGAACGUACACAGACAUUCAGAGACAGAAAGAGUUAUAAAUUAGAUCUACAUAACGCCACUUGCUGUCUACAUAGCAUUACCACAAUGUCAUUUUAGGAGAAUGUUGAACUUCGUUUUUUUAUGUCAUACACUCCUUCUCGGUCUCGUUCACGAUCAUACAGCCGUAGUCGUCGUUCUCGUUCAGGUUCAAGAUCUCUUUCGCGGUCC